GACGAACGCUGGCGGCGUGCUUAACACAUGCAAGUCGAACGGAAAGGCCCUGCUUUUGUGGGGUGCUCGAGUGGCGAACGGGUGGGUAACACGUGAGUAACCUGCCCUUGACUUUGGGAUAAUUUCAGGAAACUGGGGCUAAUACCGGAUAGGAGCUCCUGCUGCAUGGUGGGGGUUGGAAAGUUUCGGCGGUUGGGGAUGGACUCGCGGCUUAUCAGCUUGUUGGUGGGGUAGUGGCUUACCAAGGCUUUGACGGGUAGCCGGCCUGAGAGGGUGACCGGCCACAUUGGGACUGAGAUACGGCCCAGACUCCUACGGGAGGCAGCAGUGGGGAAUAUUGCACAAUGGGCGGAAGCCUGAUGCAGCAACGCCGCGUGCGGGAUGACGGCCUUCGGGUUGUAAACCGCUUUCGCCUGUGACGAAGCGUGAGUGACGGUAAUGGGUAAAGAAGCACCGGCUAACUACGUG
rnacentral:rRNA from 1 species